UUUUGUUUUUGUCAAAUGUGACCAAUCAGAAGAAGUCACGUCAGAUGAUAUUGGUAUCACAAAUAUUAGUGGGCUGAUACUGAUCAAGAAUAUUCUAAUUGCUUUACUAAUAUAAAAAUAAUUUUUGGACUUGUGAUACUCUAAAAAUAUCACCCAUGUACAUGGUCUUAUAUCCUCUUGACGAAAAAAGAGUUAUAUCCUAAUGUAUUAUAUUAAUAUUGUUAUCGCGUCGCAACUCUAAUUCAGAUAUGGGUAAUAGCUUGUGUGGGAAGUGGGAGAUU
rnacentral:sRNA from 1 species